rnacentral:lncRNA from 1 species
UGCUGAUGGAGAGAAAUAUGGUUCUGCUCCACGAGCAGUAUCAGAUUCCUUCGGGGUUUCAAUUGAAAAUCCUAGGGCCAGACGAUUGAGUCUGCCAACCUCCAACAUGCCGGAUUAUUCUCUAUGAAGAGUGCUUUCAAAUCGGGCUGAGGCUUCCCCUUCACUCCUUCAUCGCUUUUCUUCGGUUCUUUGAGAUAUCAUUAUGUUCGGCGGUAUCCAAUUCAUAGUGGCACAUUUAUGG